rnacentral:rRNA from 1 species
GGUGCUUGCACCUCUUGAGAGCGGCGGACGGGUGAGUAAUGCCUAGGAAUCUGCCUGGUAGUGGGGGAUAACGCUCGGAAACGGACGCUAAUACCGCAUACGUCCUACGGGAGAAAGCAGGGGACCUUCGGGCCUUGCGCUAUCAGAUGAGCCUAGGUCGGAUUAGCUAGUUGGUGAGGUAAUGGCUCACCAAGGCGACGAUCCGUAACUGGUCUGAGAGGAUGAUCAGUCACACUGGAACUGAGACACGGUCCAGACUCCUACGGGAGGCAGCAGUGGGGAAUAUUGGACAAUGGGCGAAAGCCUGAUCCAGCCAUGCCGCGUGUGUGAAGAAGGUCUUCGGAUUGUAAAGCACUUUAAGUUGGGAGGAAGGGCAUUAACCUAAUACGUUGGUGUCUUGACGUUACCGACAGAAUAAGCACCGGCUAACUCUGUGCCAGCAGCCGCGGUAAU